rnacentral:rRNA from 1 species
GUGACCUCAAAUCAGGCAGGACUACCCGCUGAACUUAAGCAUAUCAAUAAGCGGAGGAAAAGAAACUAACAAGGAUUCCCCUAGUAUCUGCGAGUGAAGCGGGAAAAGCUCAAAUUUAAAAUCUGGCAGUCUUAUGGCUGUCCGAGUUGUAAUCUAGAGAAGUGUUAUCCGCGCUGGACCGUGUACAAGUCUCCUGGAAUGGAGCAUCAUAGAGGGUGAGAAUCCCGUCUUUGACAUGGACUACCAGGGCUUUGUGAUGCGCUCUCAAAGAGUCGAGUUGUUUGGGAAUGCAGCUCAAAAUGGGUGGUAAAUUCCAUCUAAAGCUAAAUAUUGGCGAGAGACCGAUAGCGAACAAGUACCGUGAGGGAAAGAUGAAAAGAACUUUGGAAAGAGAGUUAAACAGUACGUGAAAUUGCUGAAAGGGAAACGCUUGAAGUCAGUCGCGUCAUCCAGGGAUCAACCUUGCUUUUGCUUGGUGCACUUUCUGGUUUGAUGGGUCAGCAUCAAUUUUGACCAUUGGAAAAAGGCUGAGGGAAUGUGGCAUCUUUGGAUGUGUUAUAGCCCUUGGUCACAUACAAUGGUUGGGAUUGAGG